rnacentral:lncRNA from 1 species
AGUCAGCCAUCUUUACUGAGGGCAGCCGUGCUCCCUGGCUUCAGGUUAAAGGCGUGGUGGCACUGAGUUAGGUUAACCGCGGGCAGAGAAGCCUGUCCCUAGCUACACUUCCCUGGUAGUUCGCAUAGUCACCUAGAAAGAUAGUGCUUUCUUGCACCCGAUGGGCUGCUUGUUCCCUCCCUGUGCCGCGCGGGGCACCCUCGGACGGCGCAUCUCGCGGCCAUUGGCUGAAAGGAAGACCGCUGGGAGGCCCAUCUUCCGGCGUCGCCCGGGCAGCGCGGCUCCGGAGCUGUCUGCCACUCUUCUCCUGGUGUUCCUUCAGCCCCGUCAGUGACGCCGCGGACGGCCUUCUUAUCCCUCGCCUGACAGCAGUGGCCUCCCCAGCUCUCUGUCCUGGCUCCUAUUCGCCUCCUGACAGCGCUGGUUGUGUUGCUUGGGGCGCCCAGGCGCGGCCGCUGCGCUGCGGAAACCCAUGCCACUCCUGGGUCAUAGUUGGGUGCAGUACAUUUAUUUUUAUUUUGUUAUUGCUAUUAUUAUUUUUAGAGACGGUCUGGCUCUGUCACCCAGGCUGGAGUGCAGUGGCGCGAUCAGAGCUCACUGCAGUCUCCGCCUCCCGGUCUCAAGCCAUCCUCCCGCCUCAGUCUCCCGAGUAGCUGAGACCGCAACUGCGCACCACCACACCCGGCUAAUUUUUAAAUUGUUUUUUGCAGAGAGGGGGGUCUUGAACUCCUGGCCUCAAGCGAUUCUCCUGCCUCGGCCUCCUAAAGUGCUGGAAUUACAGGCGAGAGCCACCGCGCCAGGCUGUUUUGUAAAUAAGUAAAAGAAUUUAGGGUUUGACUAACUUGCUCAACUUCUGCCUCAUUUUACCUGUUUCCCCUUAAACUUCUCCCCUUCCCUCCUAAGGCGCAUUUCUCCAUUAGGGUUGCGGAGCCCAAUUGCGUCCAGCUUUCUUUAGGAGCUUCUUUCUGCCUUUCUCUUGCCCUUUGUUCAGCCUUUCCUCUUACUUCAUCGUCUCCCCCUCAGCCGUCGUUAACGAGACCCUCAUGCACACUCAGUGAUAUUGACAAGAAGCAGGGUGGGGGUAAAGGCGAGGGCUCUAGAGUCUAUUUGCAUAAUUUUCAGAUUCCCACUCUGCAAUACUGAGUGAUUUGCUCAACCUAAAAAUGGAGAUAACACUUCUUCCUACCCACCCCCGACCCGCCGCCAGACAACUUUACGGUGAAGCUAAUGAAAUUUAUGUUCACUUGCAUGGGUCGCUGGGAUUUGUAGUCUAACAGGUGGGGAGUUGCAACCAGGGAGCAUUUCUCCUAAAUGCCAGAGAGCUCUUCAUUUGUUAUAAUUUACAAUUUAUUUUCUCAUUCUAAAUAACCAUCGUCAUACCUAAUUUUGUGUUCAUAAUUUUGUAAUUUUUUAAAAAUCAGAAGGCCCUUAAUGCUGUUUAAUUCCAGUCCCCACAAAACCUGGAUCUACACCUGUCUACCCUUAGAGUUGUUUUGAUAAUUAAAUAAAAUAAUAUGUGUGAAGCUCUUAGUACAGAAUGUGGGACAAAAUAUUUCUUUUCUUUUCGAGACAGAGUUUCGCUCUUGUUGCGCAGGCUGGAGUGCAAUGGCGCGAUCUCGGCUCACCGUGACCUCCGCCUCCCGGAUUCAAGCGAUUCUCCUGCCACCGCACCCAGCCAGUUUCUUUUCUUUUCUUUUUUUUUAAUUUUUUUUUUUUUUUUUUUUUUUGAUACAGAGUCUCGCUCUGUCGCCCAAGCUGGAGUGCAGUGGCAUGCUCUCCAAUUCCCAUUCUCCUGCCUCAGCCUCCCGAGUAGCUGGGAUUACAUACACGCGUCACCAUACCCAGCUAAUUUUUGUAUUUUUAGUUGAGACGGGGUUUCACCAUGUUGGCUAGGAUGGUCUGGAUCUCCUGACCUUGUGAUCCACCGGCCUUGGCCUCCCAAAGUGCUGGGAUUACAGGCAUGAGCCACAGUGCCUGGCCCCAUUCCUGAUUUUUAAAACCUCUUAAUAAAACAAACAGCAUACCUUAUUUGUUCUAGGUUUUGUAGCUAG